rnacentral:lncRNA from 1 species
GUUCAGGUUUCACAAGAAUGAUCCUGCCUAGAACUUCUGACUCAAACUUAAAGCUGUUUGGCUUCUCAAUAGUUGAAUGCACAGCAAGUGCAGUUAACAAAGUGACAUUGCUAUGGCUGCAAGUUGCACAACAGCAUAAUGUCAGCCUUCUGAUGAGAGCUGGGCUGUUGAGCAAUGCCACUUGGAAGAGAGAGGUCACACACAGAAACAGUUCUAAGAAUGUUAUAUCUUUAUAAAUAUUCAAUAUAUUUCUUUAUGAGUUAGAACCCAGACUUUCCAAACCUCUGAUUCAUGUUUUUCCAGAAAUCUCAGGUCAGGCAGUACAUUUUCAGUUGACAAGUUAAGUUCAUUUUGAAAUAUCUCACAGCGAAACCAGAAUAGGGCAUUUCAAGUGGGGGAGGAGUUCCACACAGAGGUCUCCA